UACGGGGGGAGCAAGCGUUGUUCGGAAUUAUUGGGCGUAAAGGGCGCGUAGGCGGCUUUGCAAGUGACGGGUGAAAUCCCUCGGCUUAACCGAGGAACUGCCUGUCAGACUGCAUGGCUUGAGACCGGGAGAGGUGAGUGGAAUUCCCAGUGUAGCGGUGAAAUGCGUAGAUAUUGGGAGGAACACCAGUGGCGAAGGCGGCUCACUGGACCGGUACUGACGCUGAGGCGCGAAAGCGUGGGGAGCAAACAGG
rnacentral:rRNA from 1 species